GACGAACGCUGGCGGCGUGCUUAACACAUGCAAGUCGAACGGGUCUGCCCUGUUUUUUGCGGGGUGGGUCAGUGGCGAACGGGUGAGUAACACGUGAGUAACCUGCCCCUCACUUCUGGAUAACCGCUUGAAAGGGUGGCUAAUACGGGGUGUUCUGGCUGUGCCGCAUGGUGUGGCUGGGAAAGAUUCACUUUUGUGGUGUUUUGGUGGGGGAUGGGCUCGCGGCUUAUCAGCUUGUUGGUGGGGUGAUGGCCUGCCAAAGAUUUGACGGGAAGCCGGCCAGAGAGGGUAGGAGGACAGACUGGGACAGAGAGACGGACCAGAAUAGUGAGGGAGGCAGCAGUGGGGGGUAUUGCACAAUGAGGGGAAGCAUGAUGAAGCGACGUCGCGUGAGGGAUGGAGGGCUGAGGGUUGAGAACCUCUUUCGCCGGUGAAGAAGGUCCUGCUAUUUGUGGUGGGGUUGAAGGUAGCCGGGUUAUGAAGCGAAGGCUAACUACGUG
rnacentral:rRNA from 1 species